rnacentral:rRNA from 1 species
UACGUAGGGGGCAAGCGUUGUCCGGAUUUAUUGGGCGUAAAGAGCGUGUAGGCGGUCAGGUAGGUCCGUUGUGAAAACUCGAGGCUCAACCUCGAGACGCCGAUGGAAACCAUCUGACUAGAGUCCGGAAGAGGAGAGUGGAAUUCCUGGUGUAAGCGGUGAAAUGCGCAGAUAUCAGGAAGAACACCCGUGGCUAAGGCGGCUCUCUAGUACGGUACUGACGCUGAGACGCGAAAGCGUGGGGAGCGAACAGG